rnacentral:snRNA from 1 species
GGAUGUAAGCAUGAUCUGGCUGUGACAACUGUCACCCUAUUGAUCACCAGGGUUGAUUCGACUGAUCUAGCUGUCUAGGUGAACUUCCCGUUCCUCCCUCAUCACUCCAUGUGCGUCCCUCCCAAAGCUGCAUAGAGGAGGACCCUUCUUCGGUCAAGUACACGAGUAGCUGUGCUUCCUUGCUAGAACCUCCAAACAAGCUCUCAAGGAAUCUUGGUUUAUUUAAGUAUUUUCAAUUUUCAGAAGUAUAGGAACCUGCCAAAACAGUUCAGAGGUAGAGUGGUUG